CAUCGUUCUCCCGGCCACGAGAGGCCGAAGGGAGGGUAAAGCUGCAUGGCGCUUCUGAGGGGGAGGCGAUCCGUCAAAGCACGACGCUUGUCUUUGUGCCGAGAACCCCAACGAUUUUUUUGUCAAGAUGCAAAAGAAUUACUGAUGGGGCAUUUAAGUCUUUGAAAGAGUCUUGCUUACUAACAAGAAAUGGAUGAAAGCCUGUUUGUCUGAUUACAAAAGCAACUGGACAGCAGAUGAGAGAAUCCCUUUGCUCACAGUUCCUCUUGUUAGUAUCCUCUGUUCCUUUUCUUGCUCAAAAGCUAUUCUGGGCUAACAAUUCUGCUUUUCAAGCAGAAGCACAGAAAUAUGUGCUGAUGUCUGCAGCAGUUCUGUGUCCUGUUAGGCAGGACACACACACCUCAUAGCUGUGAGUAAUUCAGAGUCUCCCAGGAAGGAGAGUCCAUCCUUACCUAUUGCCAUGCUGCUGUGUCACAGUGUGCAGUGUUGUGCCUGUGUUCAAGAAAAAUAGUAUGAAACUUGUCUUUUACAAAUAUUUAUUAAAGGGACUUUCUGAGAAAUUAGUGUGCCAUUUUAAAUAUAAUGUGUGCUAAGAGAGAUGAAAAAUUACAACCCAGGUAUCUUGCAGGCCUAACUUUAUUCCUAAAAGUUGAGUCCAGCCAGCAUCUAGACUGGGGAGGAAGAUGUGGUUAUCUGACUGCUCUCACACUGUGUGGCUAACACUGAAUUGCAUCAGGGGAGUCCAGGAAGCUGGAAAUGCUUCAGUGAGAAUUUCCUAUAUUACACACAGUAUUAAAACAAAUGCAUUCCCAGUCAUUUGGGGUGAGCUGUGUGACUCAUGUCUAACUACAUUUUUUUAUGAUUAAACAUCCCAAAUAUGCGCCAAGGAACUCCUCAUAUCAGGCUGUGCUGUAGACAUUUAUUAUUUACUUUGAUUCUCAUUCAAAAAUGAUGACUUUUCUCUGCCUGGUAGGCUGCACUGUAACAAUUUGCUUAUCAGAUAUUAGCUUCUGUAUAUGCUUGGCAGCAUUAUUAAAAAGGCAUCAUAGCCAAUUAGUUUGAUCCUGGAGUUGAGAUUAUCCUGGCUUUAUUGCCUCUAAAGAUGGAAUCUUAGCAGGUGCUGAGAGCACUCCGAUUUUAAAUGACCUCAUACAUUUUGUAUAUCUCAAAGAAAACUGAAUGCAGCUGCAAAGUGAAGCAGAUGGUAGAUAACUCCAGCAUUUCUUACCGGUAUCCAUAAACAACUUAAUAUCCAUUUAUUUGGAUAUUGCUCUUACUGACAAGGCUGAUUUUAAAUGGUGUCUCUCUAUCUUUGACUUCUUCAUAAAAUUGGGUAUUUUUACACUGUGAAGUUUUGUGGACAAAAUUGGCUUUUUUUCCCUGUGCUAUCAAGCCAUUAAUAAUGAAGAUGGCAAUGACAAUGGAAGAUUCCAGAGGUGCCUUCUUUGUAUUUAAAUCUGGGUAGAGAUACUUUGGUAUAACGGACUGUUUUGUCUUAUUUUUCGCGUGUUCUCUAGAAAACAGAAGGCAAAUUGCUGUUUGAGAUGUAGUAGUAGCAUGAUUUAUAAUGGGUUCUUCAAGCUACCAGAAAGUGAUUCUGUGACAUUUUUACUUGGAGGGGCUACCCAUUGUCAUAACUGAUGUUUGCACUUUCUGGAGGGAUAUGGGGAAUAAAUAUUUCAAGUAAAUCACUGAUCCACCUCGAACUACACAUUAGUAAAGAAGACUGAAGGGAAUGAAUAAAAAAGGAUGGAUGAUUUACAGUGGUGUUCUUGAAAUACCCUAUGAUCCUGAUGCUUUUUUGCUGAAGUACAUACAGCCAAGGAUGCAUCGCCUUGUCUGAGCAACUGUAGUGGAGCUCAAGAGCCAGCUUGUCAGGGUUUUGGAGAGGAUAUGAAAUGGGAGAUCCUAAGACUCUCAAUUUUAUCAUUAUCAACAGCUUUGAGAUACUCCUGUCUUAAGCACAAAAUAAGUUGAUAGUCCUGUCCACUUGAAACUGAAUUAAACUUUUAUGAUGAUCAUAGUCCUCUGAUAAAUUAAGAAGUUCUUUGCUAGCUUCUUACUGUCCAAAGCUGUCUGGAAGGAGCAGGGGUCUUGCCUGAGCUAGAGACAGAGAAUUUGGGCAGGUCCCUCCAGUGCAGGCAGAGCUGUGACUGCCCACAGGUCCAGCAGAGGGAAGUGUUGGCCUAAAAUACCCUUUGAGAGCCUUUUGUGUGAUGAACUGCAAGAGCCACGUUAUUGCACCAAGAAAUCAAUGAUCUGGAGCGUAUGUAACAUGUGAUUUAUGAAGUCCCAGAAGGAGACAAAGAAGCUUUAUAAAAUGCCAAGAAAGAGCAAGUGUGAUAAUAAUCAGGAUGUGGCAGGGGCUGAAAUUGCAAUUCUAUAGAGAACUAUGAAACUUACAUAUUUUUUAUUUUCUUUAGGAGAAUAAAUGGCAUUUUAGAGGUUAAAGGGUUGUGGUUCAUGCUUCAGUUAGCAAUAAAGCUGUAGCCUUUCAUAUCAAAAGAUAGGAUCUUGAGAAACAGA